AGGGCUGCGGUAAUUUGACCGUGCGAAGGUAGCAUAGUCAUUAGUCUCUUAAUUGGGGGCUUGUAUGAAAGGUCGGAUGAGAAAUCGGCUGUCUUUCCUGUGACGCGAAUUUAACCUUUAAGUGAAAAGGCUUAGAUUUCUUAGGGGGACGAUAAGACCCUAUAAAACUUGAUAUAAUGGAGUGUAAACCUGGCUUUGAGAGUGUAUAUUUCGUUGGGGAGAUGUUUGUAUAAUUUGUAACUGCUUUGUAAAUUAAAUGGUUAAUGGCCAGUUUAUGAUCCUUUCCUAAAGAUUUAAAGACUAAGUUACUUUAGGGAUAACAGCGUGAUUGUCUUUGAGAGUUCUUAUCGACAGGAUUAGUUGCGACCUCGAUGUUGAAUUAAGAUUUCGGAUUGGUGUAGCCGCUUUUCUGGUGGGUCUGUUCGACCUUUAAAA
rnacentral:rRNA from 1 species